CCUACGGGGGGCAGCAGUGAGGAAUAUUGGUCAAUGGACGAGAGUCUGAACCAGCCAAGUAGCGUGAAGGAUGACUGCCCUAUGGGUUGUAAACUUCUUUUAUAUGGGAAUAAAAUGUUCCACGUGUGGGAUUUUGUAUGUACCAUAUGAAUAAGGAUCGGCUAACUCCGUGCCAGCAGCCGCGGUAAUACGGAGGAUCCGAGCGUUAUCCGGAUUUAUUGGGUUUAAAGGGAGCGUAGGUGGAUUGUUAAGUCAGUUGUGAAAGUUUGCGGCUCAACCGUAAAAUUGCAGUUGAUACUGGCAGUCUUGAGUACAGUAGAGGUGGGCGGAAUUCGUGGUGUAGCGGUGAAAUGCUUAGAUAUCACGAAGAACUCCGAUUGCGAAGGCAGUUCACUGGACUGCAACUGACACUGAGGCUCGAAAGUGUGGGUAUCAAACAGGAUUAGAUACCCCUGUAGUC
rnacentral:rRNA from 1 species